rnacentral:rRNA from 1 species
ACGCUGGCGGCGUGCCUAAUACAUGCAAGUCGAGCGAAUGGAUUAAGAGCUUGCUCUUAUGAAGUUAGCGGCGGACGGGUGAGUAACACGUGGGUAACCUGCCCAUAAGACUGGGAUAACUCCGGGAAACCGGGGCUAAUACCGGAUAAUAUUUUGAACUGCAUGGUUCGAAAUUGAAAGGCGGCUUCGGCUGUCACUUAUGGAUGGACCCGCGUCGCAUUAGCUAGUUGGUGAGGUAACGGCUCACCAAGGCAACGAUGCGUAGCCGACCUGAGAGGGUGAUCGGCCACACUGGGACUGAGACACGGCCCAGACUCCUACGGGAGGCAGCAGUAGGGAAUCUUCCGCAAUGGACGAAAGUCUGACGGAGCAACGCCGCGUGAGUGAUGAAGGCUUUCGGGUCGUAAAACUCUGUUGUUAGGGAAGAACAAGUGCUAGUUGAAUAAGCUGGCACCUUGACGGUACCUAACCAGAAAGCCACGGCUAACUACGUGCCAAGCAGCCGCGGUAAUACGUAGGUGGCAAGCGUUAUCCGGAAUUAUUGGGCGUAAAGCGCGCGCAGGUGGUUUCUUGAGUCUGAUGUGAAAGCCCACGGCUCAACCGUGGAGGGGUCAUUGGAAACUGGGAGACUUGAGUGCAGAAGAGGAAAGUGGAAUUCCAUGUGUAGCGGUGAAAUGCGUAGAGAUAUGGAGGAACACCAGUGGCGAAGGCCGACUUUCUGGGCU